rnacentral:rRNA from 1 species
CCUGGCUCAGAACGAACGCUGGCGGCAGGCUUAACACAUGCAAGUCGAGCGCCCCGCAAGGGGAGCGGCAGACGGGUGAGUAACGCGUGGGAAUCUACCCUUUUYUACGGAAUAACGCAGGGAAACUUGUGCUAAUACCGUAUGAGCCCUUCGGGGGAAAGAUUUAUCGGGAAAGGAUGAGCCCGCGUUGGAUUAGCUAGUUGGUGGGGUAAAGGCCUACCAAGGCGACGAUCCAUAGCUGGUCUGAGAGGAUGAUCAGCCACAUUGGGACUGAGACACGGCCCAAACUCCUACGGGAGGCAGCAGUGGGGAAUAUUGGACAAUGGGCGCAAGCCUGAUCCAGCCAUGCCGCGUGAGUGAUGAAGGCCCUAGGGUUGUAAAGCUCUUUCACCG